UAGCCCUGUAGUUGGGUGAAUAUUGGUGGGAUGAAUUAUGCAUUAAAAAACGCCGCAACAAUUGCAGCAUGCAGUUGGGUCUUCAUGUGCAGAUGGGUGUCUCUACACUCUCAGCCAGCUUCCUAGAAUUGGUUUCCUCCCUGUCACCAGCAAAUUUUCUUUUAAAAAAAUAUAAACACACUUACACACACAGCAGUGCUGGAGACAUUUGGGGGAACGCCAUGCCGCCUCGCUUCGAUGUUUCCUGCAUCCCUUGCACAAGCAGAAAGCACAAAACGAUGCACGCAGCACAAUCGGUUGGGAGAUCACAGACUCCAGCGUCCUCGUUUUCUCCGCCCUUCUUCGUUACCUACUUGACCGAUAUUGCAGGUAGUGGUGGUGGGAGCAUGAGAGCCGAGCCUGGGCUGUGCCCAGAGUGUGACGUUCGUUUGCCAUUUUUGGUACUGUGGGUGCAUUCUGUUUUGGUAUGUGGGUCAUGUUGGAUUGCAUCGUGAGGGGCUCAAUGAGAGGGUUUUUAAAGAGGGACUGUAAUGGAAGCUCAGAGUUUCAAACUGUGGUAGUGGGAGGGGAGUCCUUGGGGUCAGUUUGGAGGAUGGAUGCAUGUUUUGCGUGGUUUUGUGGGAGCAGGGUUAGUGGUGGAAUUCAGGCAAGCAGCAGGAGUUGAAGGAAAGAAAGCCAUCGCGGGCGAGAUCUCGUUCCGUCUGCUCUGAGCGCACAUGAUCAGAAAGCAUAGUCUGUUAUCCCGGGAAAUGGCGAUGUAGCUAGGAUGAUGAAGAAAUCCAUCUGUCGUUGCUUUAACUUAGCCAUGACCUAAAGGCAGUGGAGGACCUACUACGUCUAUGUGUCUGGAAUUGGGUCAACAAGGACUUUUGUUUUGGAGGUUUUGAGCACGCCUCGAUUUCAUAGUGCAAUCCCCGAAGCGAUCUAGUGGCAGUGUUACUUUUGUGGAUAUGAUGUCAGAGUGAUCAGAAUGGUGCACAACAGGCAAGAGCUAGCACCUGAGGGUAGGAAUCACUCGUACGUGCCGCUGUACCGGUCUGGAGGAUGGAGUGACCGUGGCAUCAGGCAAACUUUGGAAGACGCUCUUAUCUGCAUAGACGAUCUCAAUGAUCAGCUGCAGUCUCGGGGUGCAUUCUAUGGGGUGGGACACCUGAAGGUUGGCCCUAGUCCCAAAUUCGGGAUCCUAUUUUCAAGAGGACAGUGGUUCGUAAAUAUUGACUCGAAGGAAACGGGGAAUUUCAGGAACUUGCUGGUGGCGAAUGCAGGCGACUGUCGGGCAGUCUUGUGUCGUAGGGGCAAAACGAUACAAUUGUUCAGCGAUCAUACCCCAAUUCUGAUGGCGAAAAGAUGCGCAUCGAAUUAGCAGGGGGGACUGUAACUAGCGAUGGAUAUGUUAACGGGCAGGUGACAGUCGCUCGCGCCAUUGGAGAUUGGCACAUGCCAGGCGUGAAGGGCUUCAAUGACACUUGGCCUGUAAUUGCAGAGCCCGAAAUCCGGAGUUUAGAACUCUCUGAAGUCGAUGAGUUCUUACUUCUGGGAUGUGAUGGCUUGUGGGAUGUGUUUACUAGCAGUGCUGCUGUUGAUUUUGCGCGUAGGCAGUUGCGGGAGCACAAUUACCCAGAGCGAUGCUCUAAAGCACUGAUAGAGGAGGCAUUGAAGCGAAAUGCCCAAGAUAAUAUCACAGUAAUCACACUUUGUUUCCAAGCAGAGGCCCCACCAGACGUUACCGUUGUAGAGAGGUCAACCAUAAGAAAGUUAAUCUUGAAAGUAAUCGUUGCAACAGGACCUUGACAUUGCCGAAGCUUCGAACGUAUAUCGCCGAAUUGAUUGAUCCUGGCAGGCAUCCCUAGUAUUGUUCCGGUGUGCUGUCUGAUUCUUUAAGGCUUAACUUUCGUUGAUGAAGAGAUGAACUGGAUGUUUCAACGAAGUCAGGUGGACCUCUCAGCAAGCAGGAGUUUGUCAAGAAUAACGAGGAUAUAUUGUAGAGGUGAAGUGCUACACAUUGUAGAUGGCCAAUCAGCUCUAGAUCAGAACUUUGGUGUUGCGUCAAUGUAUAUGAAAAUGUUUAAAUUCUAAGCACUCAUUGAGAAACAUUUGCGUGCCCUGCCUAGGAAUGAUACUGGCUGGUACAAUUACAACUUUGGAGGUGAAUUCUACCUCCUGUUUAAGUCAGGAGAGACUUGCUUCAGCA